rnacentral:rRNA from 1 species
GACGAACGCUGGCGGCGUGCUUAACACAUGCAAGUCGAACGGAAAGGCCCUGCUUUUGUGGGGUGCUCGAGUGGCGAACGGGUGAGAAACACGUGAGUAACCUGCCCUUGACUUUGGGAUAACUUCAGGAAACUGGGGCUAAUACCGGAUAGGAGCUCCUGCUGCAUGGUGGGGGUUGGAAAGUUUCGGCGGUUGGGGAUGGACUCGCGGCUUAUCAGCUUGUUGGUGGGGUAGGGGCUUACCAAGGCUUUGACGGGUAGCCGGCCUGAGAGGGUGACCGGCCACAAUGGGACUGAGAUACGGCCCAGACUCCUACGGGAGGCAGCAGUGGGGAAUAUUGCACAAUGGGCGGAAGCCUGAUGCAGCAACGCCGCGUGCGGGAUGACGGCCUUCGGGUUGUAAACCGCUUUCGCCUGUGACGCAGCGUGAGUGACGGUAAUGGGUAAAGAAGCACCGGCUAACUACGUG